UACGUAGGUGGCAAGCGUUGUCCGGAAUUAUUGGGCGUAAGCGCGCGCAGGUGGUUCCUUAAGUCUGAUGUGAAAGCCCACGGCUCAACCGUGGAGGGUCAUUGGAAACUGGGGAACUUGAGUGCAGAAGAGGAAAGUGGAAUUCCAAGUGUAGCGGUGAAAUGCGUAGAUAUCGGAAGGAACAUCAGUGGCGAAAGCGGCUUCCUGGACCAGCACCGACGUCAGGCACGAAAGCGUGGGAGCAAACAGG
rnacentral:rRNA from 1 species